rnacentral:rRNA from 1 species
GACGAACGCUGGCGGCGUGCCUAAUACAUGCAAGUCGAGCGGACGGAUGGGAGCUUGCUCCCAGACCGUCAGCGGCGGACGGGUGAGUAACACGUGGGCAACCUGCCUGUAAGACUGGGAUAACUCCGGGAAACCGGGGCUAAUACCGGAUAACUCUUUCCCUCACAUGAGGGAAAGCUGAAAGAUGGCAUCUCGCUAUCACUUACAGAUGGGCCCGCGGCGCAUUAGCUAGUUGGGGAGGUAACGGCUCACCAAGGCGACGAUGCGUAGCCGACCGGAGAGGGUGAUCGGCCACACUGGGACUGAGACACGGCCCAGACUCCUACGGGAGGCAGCAGUAGGGAAUCUUCCGCAAUGGACGAAAGUCUGACGGAGCAACGCCGCGGGAGUGAUGAAGGUUUUCGGAUCGUAAAACUCUGUUGUCAGGGAAGAACAAGUACCGGAGUAACUGCCGGUACCUUGACGGUACCUGACCAGAAAGCCACGGCUAACUACGG